rnacentral:lncRNA from 1 species
AUCUACCAUGAACGACUUCUGAAUCCAGGAAGAGAGACUGACUGGGCAACAUGUUAUUCAGGGUCUCCCUCUGUUGUCCAAGGCUGGAGUGUAGUAGUGCUAUCACAGCUGACUGCAGCCUCAACCUUCCAGGCUGAAGCGAUCCUCCCAUCUCAACCUCCCACGUGGCUGAGACUAUAGGUGCUUGCCACUAUGCCCAACUAAUAUUUGGAAUUUUCCUAUACGUGGAUUCCAGAGGGGUGACAGUGAAAC